AUUGAACGCUGGCGGCAGGCCUAACACAUGCAAGUCGAGCGAGCGGCGGACGGGUGAGUAAUGUAUGGGGACCUGUCCGUUAGAGGGGGAUAACUACGGGAAACGGUAGCUAAUACCGCACAAUAUGGGAUGUCCCAUAUGGGAUUAGCUAGUCGGGGGGGUAAUGGCUCACCUAGGCGACGAUCCCUAGCUGGACUGAGAGGAUGAUCAGCCACACUGGGACUGAGACACGGCCCAGACUCCUACGGGAGGCAGCAGUGGGGAAUUUUGGACAAUGGGGGAAACCCUGAUCCAGCCAUCCCGCGUGGAUGAUGAAGGCCUUCGGGUUGUAAAGUACUUUUGGCAGAGAAGCGGUAUCUGCAGAAUAAGCACCGGCUAACUACGUGCCAGCAGCCGCGGUAAUUC
rnacentral:rRNA from 1 species